rnacentral:snRNA from 1 species
GUGCUCCCUUCAGCAGCACAUAUACUAAAAUUGAAACCAUACAGGGCUUCCCAGGUGAUGCUAGUGGAAAAGAAUCUGCCUGCCAAUGCAGAAACAAUACAGGUAAGAUUAACAUGGCCCCUGGGUAAGGACGACAGGCAAAUUGGUGAAAGCAUUCCAUAUUUU